rnacentral:rRNA from 1 species
UACGAAGGGGGCUAGCGUUGUUCGGAAUUACUGGGCGUAAAGCGCACGUAGGCGGAAUGUUAAGUCAGGGGUGAAAUCCCGGGGCUCAACCCCGGAACUGCCUUUGAUACUGGCAUUCUCGAGUCCGGAAGAGGUGAGUGGAAUUCCGAGUGUAGAGGUGAAAUUCGUAGAUAUUCGGAGGAACACCAGUGGCGAAGGCGGCUCACUGGAACGGUACUGACGCUGAGGCGCGAAAGCGUGGGGAGCAAACAGG